CCAUUGUGGGCAGAAGGAUCCUCCUCGGAUCGUCACCGGUGCUGGGUAGGCUUCCUUAGGCUGAGUUUCUCCGUGUUGAGUUGCUGCUUUCAGCUCACUGAGGAUGACCUGGAGUACUUGGCUGAACCUAUGCCGGAUCAUGGAGGAACACAUCCAGCUUCCUAUGCCUCAGCUUCCAGCCACUGCCCCUUGCCCUGUCAUCAGGCAUCGCCAAGAAGAGCCUGGCUCUGUCCUCCUGGCACUCAUUUAUCCUUCUGUGAGGGAGCUGAUGUGACACUAAAGAAACAGAAGAGAUUCAGACCCAAGGAGGAGAUACUGAACAACAUAUAGUGUCUCAAAAUACUUGCCAAGCACAGUUAUUUUUUAGAACCUUGAUAAUAAAAUAAUGAAAUAGUCA